rnacentral:rRNA from 1 species
AGAGAGAGACAUGCGCGCAUAUCAAUAAGCGGAGGAAAAGAAACUAACAAGGAUUCCCUUAGUAACGGCGAGUGAAGCGGGAAGAGCUCAAAUUUGAAAUCUUCAAGGUUUUACCUUGACGAAUUGUAGUUUAAAGAAGUGUUUUCUGCUGAAGUUUUGGUAAAAGUUCUUUGGAAUAGGACAUCAUAGAGGGUGAGAAUCCCGUAUUUGACCAUUAUUUUCAGCUAUGUGAUACACUUUCAAAGAGUCGGAUUGUUUGGGAAUGCAGUCCAAAAUGGGUGGUAAAUUUCAUCUAAAGCUAAAUAUUGGCGAGAGACCGAUAGCGAACAAGUACCGUGAGGGUAAAGAUGAAAAGAACUUUGAAAAGAGAGUUAAACAGUACGUGAAAUUGUCAAAAGGGAAGCGUUUGACACCAGUGUUGUUUUCUCGAAAAUCAAUUAAAAAUGGCUCGAUUUUGUAUUGUUGAGACCUUAAAAGCUCACUGUACAUUUUUCGUGUCUUUUUUAAUGCACUUUUCGUUUAACAAGUCAACGAUCAGUUUCUUUUGUUGUAAAAGGGUCAUUGGAAGGUGGCUUUCUUUUCGGAGAAAGUAGUUUAUAGCCUUUGGCCUCUGCAAUCGGAGAGACUGAGGUCUGCAGCGUAGACUCUUCGGGGUUAGAUACAUUUGUGCUAAGUUAUAGCUUUUUAUAGACAACUUGUUGACUAUAAUUAGUCACUGUAGCUUACUCGCUUAUGCUAUUUUACCUACGCUUAGGAUGUUGAGUCGUAGAGCACGCAG